GCUCAGAUUGAACGCUGGCGGCAGGCCUCACACAUGCAAGUCGAGCGGAUGAAGGGAGCUUGCUCCUGGAUUCAGCGGCGGACGGGUGAGUAAUGCCUAGGAAUCUGCCUGGUAGUGGGGGAUAACGUCCGGAAACGGGCGCUAAUACCGCAUACGUCCUGAGGGAGAAAGUGGGGGAUCUUCGGACCUCACGCUAUCAGAUGAGCCUAGGUCGGAUUAGCUAGUUGGUGGGGUAAAGGCCUACCAAGGCGACGAUCCGUAACUGGUCUGAGAGGAUGAUCAGUCACACUGGAACUGAGACACGGUCCAUGCUCCUACGGGAGGCAGGAGAGGGGAAUAUUGGAAAAUGGGCGAAAGCCUGAUGCAGCCAUGCCGCGUGUGUGAAGAAGGUCUUCGGAUUGGAAAACUCUUUUAGUUGGGAGGAAGGGCAGUAAGUUAAGACCUUACCGUUUUGACGUUACCAGCAAAAAAAGCACCGGCUAACUUCGUG
rnacentral:rRNA from 1 species